AGCAAGCCCCAGAGCGCAUCUCAUAGAAUAUUAAGUGAUAUUAUGAUAAAUCCGCACUCGACAUUAGCAUAAGAAGCACGGCCCGAAUAAAACAUUUAAAAACCAUUGAACCGUUAGGCCGUUACCAAACAAAUUGCUAGAAUAAAUCCGAAGGCUGUUUUCGAUAAGAAAUGAAAUAAGGCCCGUGAAGGGCUAACGACGUCAGGGCCGGCGACGGCACAUUAAAUGGAUUGACGAUGGAGGAAGUGGAAAACAUGGCGUAUUGAAAUACUACUUUUUUGACAUGACCAUAAAAGUUUAGGUUGACUAUGA